ACGCCAAAAAUUGCAAAAAACAAAUGUUCAGAGAUCAAGUAACGAGAUAAAACUUUUCGACGAUUAUAAACGAAAAAUCACGAUUUAACGGUUAUUGCAACUCCAAUAUUGAUGAUUAUUUACAGCUACACUCCUAGGCCCUAUAUGAAUAGAAUGAAUAAAUUCGAUCUUCAAUUUAAAAUAUUUACACUGGUGGAUACCACAAAAUCUUAUGUUAUACUUAAUGAAAGUAUAAAUAAACUCCAAGUGUUAGUGAAUCUAUCGUUUGAUGGCAUAUGCAUUCUACGAAAUUAAUUUCAACGAUCCAACCGUAAAACUUGUUUGUAUAUGUUUCAAGAUCGCAUACGCCAAAAAUUGCAAAAAAUAAACAUUCAGAGAUCAAGUAACGGGACAAAACUUUUCGACGGUUAUCAACGAAAAAUUACGAUUUAACGGUUACUUUAACUCUAAUUUUGAUGAUUUUUUACAGCUACACUCCUUGACCCUAUACGAAUACAAUGAAUGAAUUCGAUCUUCAAUUUAAAAUAUUUACACUAGUGGAUACCACAAAAUCUUAUGUCAUGAUGAUCGAUGAAAAUUGAGGAUUUUGUAAAAGGAAUAACAUGCAAGCUUUGUGUUCCAUUGGCAAGGUUUAAACUUUUGAGAAAGGCUUCACAACCUUGAAAAUAUCUUUCGUUUUGCAUAUCCUUACACAUUUAAUAUUUUGUAAUAGACUAGUACUGUAUGGAUGUUUGUUUAUUAGACUCUUAUUUUCGAGUGUAGAUGUAGUACUUAAACGACAAAUGUGUUUUAAUGUUUUGAAGUAAUAUUUAUGUGGCAAUGUGUGGUAUGUGCAAAUUUAAUAAAAAUAUAUAUAUUUUUCUUAACGGGUUGGUUCACUUUACCCGUUGGGUAAAGUAACCCGACCUGUUAAGAUAACGGAUGUGACACGACACGACCCGUUAAGAUAACAGGUGUUACACGAAAACGACACGAACACGACAGACACGACCCAUUUGCUAGGCCUACUCUCUUCCUCUCUCAUUCUAUUUCAAAAACAAAUAAACAAAUUUCUCACACACUUUGUGUGUGCCCAUAUGCUAGUAUAUAUGAAGGGAGAAGCCUAAAUAGGUGAAGGAUUUCAAAAUGUCAAAAACUACCCCUUUAUUUCUUUCACAAUCAAAACCCAAAAAAAUAAAAAAAGUGAGGACAAACUGGUAAAAAACCAUAACUUAAAAAGAGAUGAGCAUCACAACCAUGAGUUUUGCCAAAUGAAGAAUGAGAACCG
rnacentral:lncRNA from 1 species